UAUAAGUAAAAGGGUGUGUAUAACCCUUGUGCGUGUAGAAAGUGUUCUACAUAGGAAAUAGUUGAAUCAUCACGUCUAAGGUGAUUGCAAGUGUAGAGGGUGUUCUACACUGCAUUGAGCUGAGUGAAAUAGUCACUCACUGAUUGUGGCCCUUGAGUGAUGGAUCCAAGUUGUUGUUGUAGUUGAUAAAUAUGGACAUUGUCAAGUUGUGAAAAUCUUGCCUUAAGUUUUUCCCAAACUUCUUUAGCUGAGUUGACAUACAGAACAUUAGAGGCUAUUUUCUUUGAGAUUGAGUUGAGGAUCCAUGAGAUGAUCAAGUUAUUGCAGCGGAGCCAAGGGAUAUAGAGGGUAUUGGAAGGAUGAGGUGUUUCAAUGGUGCCAUCUAGGAAUCCAAGCUUGUUUUUUAUUUAGAUGGCCAAGGUGAAUGAAUGGUGCCAAGACAAAUAGUUGGGACCCGUGAGGUGAGGUGUGACCACCAUAGUGUUAGCAUUGUCACUGUGGUGUGGAUAAAAGGGGCUAUUAGAGUCUUCAGAUGGAGAUAGAUUUGGAUGAUGGGGGUGCUGUGGGUUCUCCUCAGCCAUGGAAACAAACAUAGAGUGAAUGAGUAAGAAUAGGGAAGUGAUUGAUGACAGAAGAGAAAGGAGCAAGGUUUAUCAAACCUGCUCUGAUACCAUGUUAGAAAUAAGACUUGAAGUUGAAGAAGGAAUAUGAAAUGACGGAAAUGAUGAAACAGAAUGUGAGAAAUUCGAGUGACAACUUGAGGAGUGAAAAAUGCUAUCUGUUUCUUAUACUGAUUUAUUACAGAAAGGAUACAUUGUUCUUAUAUACUCUACUUGACUAGAAAGAAUACGAAAAGGACCAAAAAGGAAACAAAACAAUAUUUGACAUAUACACACAAAUAUGCAUAUACACUUUACACAAGAGGACAAUGCAGUAACACAACCAGCCUAGUGCUAAAACCAAAUUGCAGACCACUCAUUACUUUGAGGUGCUUUUGUCUAGUCUAGCAGCUUUAUAUGUGGUGCCUGCAUUUUGAGCUGCUGCUCUUGUAGCAGAGUUGGGUUCUUCUCUUAUGGGCCUAGUUUCAUUUCGACUGUGUAGCAUGGGCCUCAUUGUUUCUUCUUUUUGUGAAUCUUCGCCAAUUUGCAGCUAGACUCAUCCAAGAUUGCAAAGACAAUUUUCCUCUAUUUUGCAUAAAGACAAUUCGAUAUUUUUCAUUUGACCGUUGUAUUUUUACGUUUGAAUGUUUCAUUCACACAUUAUUGGGUUAUUGUUCAAACGUAAAAAUUUAAACUUUCGGAUGGUUAAUAUAUACGUCAAUGCAAAAUUGGUGGAUCCAAUAGUUUGAAGUCAAUGGGGGCAGAGGACCCUUCAAUCCCAUUAAUGUUAGUGAAAUAAAAAUAGUUUAAUUAUGGUUGCCUGUUGUAUUAUGUCUUCUUUGCUUUCAAAUCUCUCUUCUAUGUACGAGAGAAUGCCAAAAAAAAAAAAAAAGGAUUGACAUUGUAUUCGUUUGAAUUAUAAUCUUCUAAUUAUAAUUUGACCAUUUGAUCUCGGCCUUUUGAUUAUGAGUUUUAUAACAGUACUAUGUUUUUCACCAUUUUAGUUUGUACAGGAUAUAAUAUAGUUUGUUGUUAAGUCUAUCUCUUUUACAAACUACCUGAGGUCAUGUUUUGGAAGUGAGGAGGAAUUCUCCUGCCUUCACUCUUGAGUGAAAGGUGUAGUUUAGGGAGGCAAUGCACCACAUGCCUAUGGCUAGAAAUAGUCCACAACCUAUUGCGCUACAUUGGGAAGCUCCUCCUACCUGGGUGGAGGUUAAUUGGUGUUAAGAUAUAAAAUAAAUAAUAAAAUAUACCUAUUCCCAUCAGCUUAAACUUUUGGCAAGUGGUGAUUUCACAUAAUAUCAGAGCAAAAGUCUUAAGUUCGAACCCUGACUCUACACUGUAUCCCAUUGAAUUAAAUAUUCCACGUGUUGGGCCACCUAUUGAGGGAGAAUCUGGCCACACGUGAGGGGAAUGUUAAGAUAUAAAAUAAAUAAUAAAAUCUACAUCUUCCCAUUAGCUUAAGUUUUUGGGACAAGUAGUAAUUUCACAAGUUGAAUUCAAGCUUUCAAUCCGAGUUUUGGAUCAAAAUGCUAUUGAAGAUAACGGAAGAUCUUCAUUUAGAUGAGCUGAACAUUGUUGAGAGUGUCAUACCCGAAAUAGACAAGAAGGAUUUCAACAAAUGAAGAAUCUUCAUAUCCAAAAUUGUGCUAAGCUUAAGCAUAUCCUUAACUUGAGGACAUAAGUUAUAGCGUUUUCUACAUUGGAGACAUUUGUUCUCGAAAAUAUGAUCGGUUUGGAAGAAAUUUGUCAUGGCAAACUACCCUUGACAUCCUUUAAAAACUUGAGAGUUUUAAAGGUGUGAUAAGCUGUGAGAAAUUAAGAUAUGUCUUCUCUUCAUCUAUGUCCAGGGGCCUUCCAUUACUUGAAGGAUUGGUGGUAAGGAAAUGCAACAACAUGAGUGAUAUAGUCGUGAAAGAAGAAGAGCAGGGAAUUGAAGAUGGAGAUAUAAUCUUGUUUCGUCGACCCCAAACCUUGGUGCUAGAGGACGUUCCAAAGCUUGUGAGCUUCUUGAGCAAAAAAACUUUAUUUAUGAGGGAUGGCGGAGAAACCAUUUUGGAGGGCAACCAUGAUACUGGCUUGCCACUUCUACAUGAUCAGGUACAUUAGUCAGUUAGCUUCGAACUCACACAUGACACGAUAGUUGCUUUAGUUUGAGGCCCAAAACUAUAAUUGCAUGCACCUCUACUAAUUAAGGUUGUGGCUCUAGGCCAGACAUAAAAGUUAAAUUUGAAAAAAUAAUAUGGAACUUCUCAAAGAAUAAAUAAUGAAUAUUUCUGGAUGUACUCAUUUCAACAUAGGAAAAGAAGAGCAUACGAAUCAUAAGCCAACAUUAGUACUUGAAUGGACCAUAGUUCCCAGAUAAUUAGUGCUAUUUUCGUACUCAUUCCCCUAUUUAAUCUUGCUUGUUUUCAAAUUCUAAGCAAAGAAAUCUUUGGCGUCGUUGAUUGAUACAUGACAUUAAUCCUACAGGUUGCCUUCCCUUAUAUGAGAAUACUGCGUCUAGAUGGUCUACCCAAAAUAAAGCAUGUAUGGAGUAAAGACCCCCAAAUAAGUUUCAUGUUUCAAAAUUUACAAGUAGUAAAUUCUUGGAGAUGCGAGAGUUUGAAAAAUUUAUUUCUAGCCUCUAUCGUUAGAUCAUAUCUCGAGCAAUUGAAGGAAAUUGUAAUUGUUGACUGUGGGAUGGAGGAAAUUGUUGUAGCUGAAAGAGGAGAAGCAGCAGUAGAAAGGUUGUUGGUGUUUCCUCGAUUAACUUCUCUGCAUCUUAUACAAUUAUCGAGACUCAAGUGGUUUUACCAUGGAAUGCAUAUUUCAAAAUGGCCAAUGCUGGAAACAUUGUCGGUCAUUGGAUGUGAGAAAGUUGAGAUAUUGGCAUCUGGACUUAAGAGCUUUCGAGAAACAGUUAAAGAAAGCCCGCCUAAGAUGUGCAUUAAACAACCCCUUUUCUUGGUGGAUGAGGUACGCGAUUAAUUUAAUUAGCUCUCUCAAGCUUUAAUUUCCACAUUAAGGAUGUAGAAGAUGUAGAACAUUUUCAAAUGGAAUGCUUUUUACAUCCCAAUAUUAUGAAAUCAUUUUGAUUUGAUAAAUUUAAUUAAUUAGUGUUUAUAUAUUAUAUAUUUAAUUACAAUUUUCAUCACUGCAAGUAAAAGAAUUUUAAAUUUUUUUAUUAAAGUUAUAUAUUAAGAUUUUCACUGCAAAUAAUACCUUAUUUGCAAUCAUUUUAUCAUUUCACCACAAAAUAGCAUUUAAGACCACACGUUUGUGACUAUUCUGUGGUGAUCUCCGGAAAAAACCCGUAAGUUCCUCAUUAAAAAUACUUAAAUCUCAUUUUUUUGUUUAUAGCAUGCCCAAAUUAACUGAAAGUCACCUUUAGGCCAAGUACAAGAAAUUAGUAUUUAUUUCCAUGAACAACCGAAUCAUGUAAUACGUAUACUAAAAUGAAGUCAUCAUGUUUUCCUUACGAGAAAUGGUAGUUCUAUAAAGAAUUAUUAUAAAAAUAGACUUAUAAACUGACGUGAUUUGAUAAAAUAAAUUAUACGUAAUAUUUUAGACCUAAUUAAACUAAUGUUGCUAUAAUGGGAUUCGGUAUUUCUUAAUGUAAUGAGUCAGAAUGUAACAUCUUUUUGUAGAUCCAGUUAAACUAGUUAGUGUACUUGUUAUCAUGGGAUGGGGUAUUUCUUAACGUCUGUUCCGAUGGAUUUUACAGCUGCCACUUCGGAGCUUAGAGAUAUUGCAUAUUGUGAAAAUGGACAAGUUGGAAACUAUAUAGCACGAUCAAGUCGCUGCAAGUUCCUUUUCCAAUAUUCAUCUAUUAAUUGUCAUUGGUUGUCAAAAUGAUCUGUUGCACAUCUUUCAAUCUAAUCUCCUAAUUACAUCUUUCCAAAGUCUAACUUCCCUACAUAUAAUUGGCUAUGGUUCGUUGGAAGCUACUGUAUUUUAGGGGUGUGCAUUCGGACCGGAUUUUUUCCGAAUCCGGUCUGGAAAUCCGGAUCCGGGUGAAUCCGGGUGGUUAUCCGCCCGGAUUACACCCGGGCGGUUGAGAGAAAACCGGAUCCGGUUACGGAUCCGGUUUUUUAAUCCGGUAAUCCGUAACCGGAUAUUACAUUCGGAUUGUUUUUUUCUCUUGCCAAACGACACCAUUUACAUCCGGAUUCCUCUCAAGUUCUCAAACCAAACGAAAUUUCCUCUCUUCAGCUGUCCUUCUCACUCUCUCGUCUCUCAAGUUCUCCCUUCUCAUCCAAAACCCUAGCCGUGCCGUGCCGAUUGCGAAUCCAUCUCUGUCUCGAAACCGACGUGGCGUAAGGCCCUUUGGAGUAUCUUUACUGGUUGCUGGGUUUGAUGACAAUGGACCACAAUUGUAUCAGGUGGACCCAUCAGGUUCAUAUUUCUCAUGGAAAGCCUCAGCAAUGGGAAAGAAUGUCUCAAAUGCAAAAACAUUCCUAGAGAAGAGGUAUACUAAUGAUAUGGAGCUUGAUGAUGUUGUGCAUACAUCUAUCCUGACGCUGAAGGAGGGGUAAAUAACU